UAUAUUUAAGUAUAAGAUGUAUAAAAGUUUUUGAUGCUUUAGGGAAUAGUUUAAUUCUAUUAAAUAUAA
rnacentral:tRNA from 1 species